UAACUCUGGUUCCUCUGCAUUUAUCCGAGAAAAUCUUUCGCCUUUUACUAAAGAUUUCCGUGCAAAGGAGCAAUCUCUGAGUAUUACAAUCAAUUUUUGGAGUCCCCUCGAAAGAGCGGGAC
rnacentral:snRNA from 13 species